GACGAACGCUGGCGGCGUGCCUAAUACAUGCAAGUCGAACGCUUCUUCUUUCACCGGAGCUUGCUCCACCGAAAGAAGAAGAGUGGCGAACGGGUGAGUAACACGUGGGGAACCUACCUUCUAGCGGGGGAUAACACAUAGAAAUGUGUGCUAAUACCGCAUAACAAUGAUUGAUGCAUAUCGAUUAUUUGAAAGGCGCAAUUGCGUCACUAGAAGAUGGCCCCGCGGUGCAUUAGCUAGUUGGUGAGGUAACGGCUCACCAAGGCAAUGAUGCAUAGCCGACCUGAGAGGGUGAUCGGCCACACUGGGACUGAGACACGGCCCAGACUCCUACGGGAGGCAGCAGUAGGGAAUCUUCGGCAAUGGACGCAAGUCUGACCGAGCAACGCCGCGUGAGUGAAGAAGGUUUUCGGAUCGUAAAACUCUGUUGUAAGAGAAGAACGUUGAUGAGAGUGGAAAGUUCAUCAAGUGACGGUAUCUUACCAGAAAGCCACGGCUAACUACGUGCCAGCCGCCGCCGUAACAC
rnacentral:rRNA from 1 species